AACGAACGCUGGCGGCGUGCUUAACACAUGCAAGUCGAACGGAAAGGCCCUGCUUUUGUGGGGUGCUCGAGUGGCGAACGGGUGAGUAACACGUGAGUAACCUGCCCUUGACUUUGGGAUAACUUCAGGAAACUGGGGCUAAUACCGGAUAGGGGCUCCUGCUGCAUGGUGGGGGUUGGAAAGUUUCGGCGGUUGGGGAUGGACUCGCGGCGUAUCAGCUUGUUGGUGGGGUAGUGGCUUACCAAGGCUUUGACGGGUCGCCGGCCUGAGAGGGUGACCGGCCACAUUGGGACUGAGAUACGGCCCAGACUCCUACGGGAGGCAGCAGUGGGGAAUAUUGCACAAUGGGCGGAAGCCUGAUGCAGCAACGCCGCGUGCGGGAUGACGGCCUUCGGGUUGUAAACCGCUUUCGCCUGUGACGAAGCGUGAGUGACGGUAAUGGGUAAAGAAGCACCGGCUAACUACGUGCCUGCCGCCGCGGUAA
rnacentral:rRNA from 1 species